rnacentral:rRNA from 1 species
AGACCCGAAACCCGGUGAUCUAGCCAUGGGCAGGUUGAAGGUUGGGUAACACUAACUGGAGGACCGAACCGACUAAUGUUGAAAAAUUAGCGGAUGACCUGUGGCUGGGGGUGAAAGGCCAAUCAAACCGGGAGAUAGCUGGUUCUCCCCGAAAGCUAUUUAGGUAGCGCCUCGUGAAUUCAUCUCCGGGGGUAGAGCACUGUUUCGGCUAGGGGGCCAUCCCGGCUUACCAACCCGAUGCAAACUGCGAAUACCGGAGAAUGUUAUCACGGGAGACACACGGCGGGUGCUAACGUCCGUCGUGAAGAGGGAAACAACCCAGACCGCCAGCUAAGGUCCCAAAGUCAUGGUUAAGUGGGAAACGAUGUGGGAAGGCCCAGACAGCCAGGAUGUUGGCUUAGAAGCAGCCAUCAUUUAAAGAAAGCGUAAUAGCUCACUGGUCGAGUCGGCCUGCGCGGAAGAUGUAACGGGGCUAAACCAUGCACCGAAGCUGCGGCAGCGACGUUUAUGCGUUGUUGGGUAGGGGAGCGUUCUGUAAGCCUGCGAAGGUGGCCUGUGAGGGUUGCUGGAGGUAUCAGAAGUGCGAAUGCUGACAUAAGUAACGAUAAAGCGGGUGAAA